rnacentral:tRNA from 1 species
GCCUGGGUGGCUCAGUCGGUUAAGCAUCCGACUUUGGCUCAGGUCAUGAUAUCAUGGUUCGUGGGUUCGAGUCCCAUCUCAGGCU